rnacentral:rRNA from 1 species
CCUAGGGGAGGCAGCAGUGGGGAAUAUUGCGCAAUGGGCGAAAGCCUGACGCAGCGACGCCGCGUGAGGGAUGAAGGUCUUCGGAUUGUAAACCUCUGUCAGCAGGGAAGAACGGUCACUGUGCUAAUCAGCAGUGAAUUGACGGUACCUGCAAAGGAAGCACCGGCUAACUCCGUGCCAGCAGCCGCGGUAAUACGGAGGGUGCGAGCGUUAAUCGGAAUUACUGGGCGUAAAGCGCGCGUAGGCGGUAUGUCAAGUCAAGGGUGAAAUCCCCGGGCUCAACCUGGGAACUGCCUGUGAAACUGGCAAACUUGAGUGUGUGAGAGGGUAGUGGAAUUCCAGGUGUAGAGGUGAAAUCCGUAGAUAUCUGGAGGAACAUCGGUGGCGAAGGCGGCUAUCUGGCACAUAACUGACGCUGAGGCGCGAAAGCGUGGGUAGCAAACAGGAUUAGAUACCCGGGUAGUC